rnacentral:rRNA from 1 species
AUUGCUCCCACGUCCAAGGACGGCAGCAGGCGCGAAAAUUGCCCACUCUUUGCAGGAGGCAGUUAUGAGACGUGAAGAUGAGUAUCUUGUAAAGAGGGAUAGGAGAAUUGGAGGGCAAGUUUGGUGCCAGCAGCCGCGGUAAUACCGACUCCAAGAGUGUGUAUGAGAGAUGCUGCAGUUAAAAAGUCCGUAGUCAUAGAAGGGCAAAGAGAGAUGCGAGGUCUCACAGUGCGAUGAUGGAGGAGCCGAUGGGGAACAUAGUAUACCAGGGCGAGAGAUGAAAUGCCAAGACCCCUGGUGGACUGAGCGAGGCGAAGGCGAUGUUCUUGUAGGCAUUCGGUGAUCAAGGACGAAGGCUGGAGUAUCGAAAGUGAUUAGAUACCGCAGUAGUUCCAGCAGUAAAAGAUGCCGACAUGCUCAUUGGACACAGUGGGCAGGGAGAAAUCUUAGAGUUCGGGCUCUGGGGAUAGUAUGCUCGCAAGGGUGAAAAUUAAAGAAAUUGACGGAGCUACACCACAAGGAGUGGAUUGUGCGGCUUAAUUUGACUCAACGCGAGGAAACUUACCAGGGCCAAGUAUUGUGUAGAAACGAGCAAUACAGGAGUGGUGCAUGGUCGUUGGAAAUUGAUGGGAUGACUUUGACCUUAAAUGGUUGAAUGAGUGAGAUCUUUUGGACAUGUUCCGCACGGAACAGGAAGGAAAAGGCUAUAACAGAUCCGAGAUGCCCUCAGAUGCCCUGGGCUGCACGCGCAAUACAAUAGCAGGUAGAGAGAGAGACAGGAAGGUGCUCAGAUGGACUAUGUGCUGUAAGGCACAUACGAAAGAGGAAUUCCUAGUAAGUGUGUAUCAACAAUGGAUAU